AAGAACCCACGUGGCGAUUUGUUACCGGAUUGCGGGCCACGUUAAACAUCACCGCUAAAGAGGUCAGACGGAGGAACUC
rnacentral:ncRNA from 1 species